CAACAUGGAUUGCCCCAGUAACGGCGAGUGAAGCGGCAACAGCUCAAAUUUGAAAUCUGGCUCUCGGGCCCGAGUUGUAAUUUGUAGAGGAUGCUUUUGGUGAGGUGCCUUCCGAGUUCCCUGGAACGGGACGCCAUAGAGGGUGAGAGCCCCGUCUGGUUGGACGCCGAACCUCUGUAAAGCUCCUUCGACGAGUCGAGUAGUUUGGGAAUGCUGCUCUAAAUGGGAGGUAUAUGUCUUCUAAAGCUAAAUACCGGCCAGAGACCGAUAGCGCACAAGUAGAGUGAUCGAAAGAUGAAAAGAACUUUGAAAAGAGAGUUAAACAGUACGUGAAAUUGUUGAAAGGGAAGCGCUUGUGACCAGACUUGGGCUUGGUUGAUCAUCCGGGGUUCUCCCCGGUGCACUCUUCCGGCUCAGGCCAGCAUCAGUUCGCCCUGGGGGAUAAAGGCAUCGGGAACGUGGCUCUCUCCGGGGAGUGUUA
rnacentral:ncRNA from 1 species